AAUCUAUUUGUAUUUUUCCUUCCGAAUUGCUUUCAAGACAAAAUGAAAGAAAAGGAAACGUGUGUUUUCAACUCUAGAACAUAAGAGCUCAUUCAGUACUGGUCAACAAAGUUAAUUUGAUCUGAGAGCAUGAAGACAGCAUCCCUGAAUUCAGCAGUGAGCAUCCAUGCUGGAAUGCAGAAUUGGCCACGUAAUAACAUUUUCUAUUUACAGCGUUAAUAUGGGAUAGAUUGGGUGGCUUCAAACAGGCAGCUGCUCUGUGGUGGUGUGGGGGCUUUAUACUGUAAAAAAUGCAUGCUGCUCAAAGAUCUCUCUUUUUUAUUUAUGUGUUUAUGAAGUACACUGGCUGGCCUUCAGAACACUCACUUUCCAAGAGUGUAAAGUUCCAUUCGGUUUUACGUUUGUUAACUGUGGUUUUCUGUCUGUCUCUGUAAAGCCCUGGCAAGAAUAGAACUUGUUUUCUGCUGGGUCCUUGCACUGCUGGCUGUCACAUGGGCUUUUCAGGCUGAGAUUUUUGGAGUGAUUGUUGUAGCCAGACACCUAACGGCAUUUAGCAGGAGUCAAUUCCUGAACUCUUCUGAAAAUCUCAGCAUUUCCAAUUCAGUCAAGAUUUGGGUUCCUUCACGGGCCAGAUGAAAUUACUCUACAGAAUAACUGUGCAUAACAAUGGAUAAAGGGCAAGUCUACACAUAUUUUGUGCACUAUUGCUCUUCUGGCUGCAGUGACUUGGGAUCGGUGGAAAGAAUUUGGGCAGCCAGUUGGAAAACUCAAUCUUGCAUAUUUUUCUAAAAAUAAAUAAUUGCUCUUUAAAAGAAAAAGAAGAAAACUACGAAAAUAAUCCUUUUAUUCAAGCAAGCUAUACGUUCCAUAUAGCCCAUAUUCCACAUGUACACUGAUUUAAAAUUGUAUCUGUGUAAUCCUCCUCUCAUAAAUAUGUUAAUCGAACAUAUAUUUGUACUGGGAAAAUGAAUGACUAAAAAAACAAUGCUUC
ensembl:lncRNA